rnacentral:sRNA from 1 species
CUUUCUACUUCUUGCAGUUUUACCAAAGAUAGCUUAUAGGGUCUUAUAUUUGAAAUCCUCCAGGUGCCAGGACCAUUGACACCAGAAAUGGAGGCACGGCAGGCUACACGGAAAAGGGAGCAGAAGGCAGCCCGGCGGCAACGGGAGGAACGGCAGCAGAGGCACCAGGAGCAGGAGGAGCGUGAACGAGAAGAGCAGCGGCGAUUUGCCGCCCUCAGUGACCGAGAGAAGAGAGCUCUGGCUGCAGAGUGCCGACUUGCUGCCCAGUUGGGAGCCCCUACCUCUCCGAUCCCUGACUCUGCAAUCGUCAAUACUCGGUAUGGGGCGGGAGGAUGAGGGAGUGGGUGGACUGUAAUGUUGCAGGGACCAUGGGGGAAGAGAAAUGAGUACCUGCACAGUAUUCAGAAGGGUGGUUGAGGGGAUUUAGGAUAUUCUGGCAGAUGCUGCAGUGAAAACAGAAAUGGCAGGAGGAGGGACAGGGAGAGCAUGGAUUGGAAAGUUUCUGAGGUACCUGUCCAGCCAUUUUUCUUCCUCUUGUUCAGACGCUGCUGGAGUUGUGGGGCAUCCCUCCAAGGCCUCACUCCCUUUCACUACCUCGACUUCUCUUUCUGCUCCACACGUUGCCUCCAGGAUCAUCGCCGUCAGGCAGGGAGGCCCUCUUCCUGAUCUCUUACAGCUCUACCUGGGGCCAACUCAGGGACCUGAGAGGGCACAUUCACAGCAGCCCUAGGUUUUUUCUUCCUCAUGAAACCAGAGAUGAUUUGGAAGAUGGGGGUGAAGGACACUCGGGAACUAGGGCAAAGACAGGGCCAGAGAGGUAUGUGGAGCUGGUACUGUCUCUGGAAGUUUAAUCACAAUAAAGUUUGGCAAGGAA